rnacentral:rRNA from 1 species
AUUGAACGCUGGCGGCAGGCCUAACACAUGCAAGUCGAGCGAGCGGCGGACGGGUGAGUAAUGUCUGGGAAACUGCCUGAUGGAGGGGGAUAACUACUGGAAACGGUAGCUAAUACCGCAUACCAUCAGAUGUGCCCAUAUGGGAUUAGCUUGUUGGUGGGGUAAUGGCACACCAAGGCGACGAUCCGUAGCUGGUCUGAGAGGAUGAAAAGCCACACUGGAACUGAGACACGGUCCAGACUCCUACGGGAGGCAGCAGUGGGGAAUAUUGCACAAUGGGCGCAAGCCUGAUACAGCCAUGCCGCGUGUGUGAAGAAGGCCUUCGGGUUGUAAAGCACUUUCAGCGAGGAGGCGUUACUCACAGAAGAAGCACCGGCUAACUCCGUGCCAGCAGCCGCGGUAAUUC